ACAGACGUCGACUCCAGCAAAAAUGUCCUGACUGACUUCAGGAGAGAGGAAUUAUUGCUACGUGCCUCUUUCCCAGUGAAGAAAAUCUCUGUUGGCUGCGAGCAGAGAAGCGGCGGAAGGAUUCCCGACUCCGGGAAGCCAGGUGUCGGAAGGAGGAAGUACGCUUGAAGGGGGUCCGGCUGGCCGACUCUGCACUCGUCCGUUCGUGGCCCACCGUGGUGGUCACCAAAUUGAGGGCUUCCUGGAAGGACCUCCUCACGGUGCCCAUCCACUGGGUCAUGUGGGUCUGGGCCACUGUGAGUUUAUCUCCCAGCUGUCUCUCCCUCCCUCUCUGGAAGGCAACACUGAUCCAGGAUCUCACUCUGUUGCCCAGGCUGGACUGCAGUGGCAUGAUCACAGCUCACUGCAGCCUUGGCCUCCCAGGCUCAAGCGAUCCUCCCACCUCAGCCUCCUCGGUAGCUAGGACUACAGGUGGAGCAACACCGUCAGUCAGAAGGCAGCGGAUGGCACAGGGCUUCCGCGUAAGGCCUGCAUCGCCUGAGUCAUGGUUUUCUCAUCUUGUAUGAGGCCCACCCCCUUCAAAAGGUUGUGACAAAAAAAACAACUGAGAUAAUUUGUGCCGCUGGCACAUAGUUAACACUCAAUAAGGCCGGGCGCAGUGGCUUACACCUCUAAUCCCAGCACUUUGGGAGGCUGAGGCAGGUGGAUCACUUGAGGCCAGGAGUUCGAUACCAGCCUGACCAACAUGGUGAAACCCCAUCUCAACUAAAAAUACAAAAAUUAGCCAGGCAUGGUGGUGUGCACCUGUAGUCCCAGCUACUUGGGAGCCUGAGGCAGGAGCAUCUCUUGAACCCGGGAGGUGGAGGUUGCAGUGAGCGGAGAUGGCACCACUGCACUCCAGCCUGGGCGACAGAACAAGACUCUGUCUCAAAACAACAACAACAACAAAA
rnacentral:lncRNA from 1 species